CGCUGGCGGCGUGCCUAAUACAUGCAAGUCAACGGUCUUUCUAUGGAAGCUUGCUUCCACUGAGAAGAUAGUGGCGAAACGGGUGAGUAACACGUGGGGUAACCUGCCCAUAAGAGGGGGGAUAACGAUCCGGAAACGGGUGCUGAUACCGCAUAGUUUUCUUGAUCGCAUGAUCGGGAAAGGAAAGACGGCCUUUGUGCUGUCGCUUAUGGAUGGACCCGCGGCGUAUUAGUUAGUUGGUGAGGUAACGGCUCACCAAGACGAUGAUACGUAGCCGACCUGAGAGGGUGAUCGGCCACAUUGGGACUGAGACACGGCCCAAACUCCUACGGGAGGCAGCAGUAGGGAAUCUUCCGCAAUGGACGAAAGUCUGACGGAGCAACGCUGCGUGAGUGAAAAGAAGGUUUUCGGAUCGUAAAACUCUGUUGUCAGAGAAGAACAAGUUGGAGAGUAACUGCUCCAGCCUUGACGGUAUCUGACCAGAAAGCCACGGCUAACUACGUGCCAGCCGCGGC
rnacentral:rRNA from 1 species